rnacentral:rRNA from 1 species
UCCCAGACUCCUACGGGAGGCAGCAGUGAGGAAUAUUGGUCAAUGGGCGCAAGCCUGAACCAGCCAAGUCGCGUGAGGGAUGACGGUCCUAUGGAUUGUAAACCUCUUUUGUCGGGGAGCAAGGCCCGCCACGUGUGGCGGGAAGGAGAGUACCCGAAGAAAAAGCAUCGGCUAACUCCGUGCCAGCAGCCGCGGUAAUACGGAGGAUGCGAGCGUUAUCCGGAUUUAUUGGGUUUAAAGGGUGCGCAGGCGGCACGGCAAGCCGGCGGUAAAAUCGCGGGGCUCAACCCCGCCCAGCCGUCGGAACUGGCGGGCUAGAGUGGGCGAGAAGUGCGCGGAAUGCGUGGUGUAGCGGUGAAAUGCAUAGAUAUCACGCAGAACUCCGAUUGCGAAGGCAGCGCACCGGCGCCCUACUGACGCUCAGGCACGAAAGCGUGGGUAUCGAACAGGAUUAGAUACCCGGGUAA